UACGUAGGGUGCAAGCGUUAAUCGGAAUUACUGGGCGUAAAGGGUGUGCAGGCGGCCUUGUAAGUCAGAUGUGAAAGCCCCGGGCUUAACCUGGGAAUUGCGUUUGAAACUACAAGGCUAGAGUGCAGCAGAGGGGAGUGGAAUUCCAUGUGUAGCAGUGAAAUGCGUAGAGAUAUGGAAGAACACCGAUGGCGAAGGCAGCUCCCUGGGCUGACACUGACGCUCAUACACGAAAGCGUGGGGAGCAAACAGGAUUAGAAACCCUAGUAGU
rnacentral:rRNA from 1 species